rnacentral:lncRNA from 1 species
GAUUAGGCCAAAAAAAAAUAUAUGUCUGUUUCCUGCUGCCAAGGCAAAAAAAUCAGGGUCGGUAGGUCUGUAUUUUUUUUUAUUUUUUUUUUUUUUUAUUUUUUUUUUUUGCACUCCCUGUCAGAUUUGCAGAUGGUUAAAUGUCAUGUUUGGUUAGGGUCCUGUUCCCUAAAAUCAUUUAAUCUCUUUAAAGAAGCUUUAAUUGAAUAAUCCUCCCAGUGCCGACAUUUUUUAAACCUUAAUUGUAUCACAUUUGUGCUGGGAGCAGCCAUUUUGAUUGUUUGAGUAUAGUAAAAUACAGAUCUGGAUCGGACCGGAAAAAUUCUUUUCCGGACCGGAAACGAUUUUUUUUCCAGAAUUGAAUAAAAAGAUCUAGGGUCGGGGGCUUUGAGUCAGGGUCGGUCGGGAAACAGGAAACAGACAUAUAUUUUUUUU